rnacentral:rRNA from 1 species
UUGGAGGGCAAGUCUGGUGCCAGCAGCCGCGGUAAUUCCAGCUCCAAUAGCGUAUAUUAAAGUUGCUGCAGUUAAAAAGCUCGUAGUUGAAUUUCGGGACCAUCAUGUCGGUCGUGCCUCGGUACGUACUGGUAUUGUUGGUUUCUCCCUUCUGACGAACCAUGAUGUCAUUUAUUUGGUGUUGUGGGGAAUCAGGACUGUUACUUUGAAAAAAUUAGAGUGUUUAAAGCAGGCUCACGCUUGAAUACAUUAGCAUGGAAUAAUGAAAUAGGACGUUUGAUUCUAUUUUGUUGGUUUCUAGGAUCGACGUAAUGAUUAAUAGGGGUAGUUGGGGGCAUUAGUAUUCAAUUGUCAGAGGUGAAAUUCUUGGAUUUAUUGAAGACUAACUACUGCGAAAGCAUUUGCCAAGGAUGUUUUCAUUAAUCAAGAACGAAAGUUAGGGGAUCGAAGACGAUCAGAUACCGUCGUAGUCUUAACCAUAAACUAUGCCGACUAGGGAUCGGAUGAUGUUAAUUUUUUAAUGACUCAUUCGGCGCCUUACGGGAAAC